rnacentral:rRNA from 1 species
GACGAACGCUGGCGGCGUGCCUAACACAUGCAAGUCGAACGGGGGGAACAUGAAGUAUUUCGGUACGGAAUGCGCCCCUAGUGGCGAACGGGUGAGUAACACGUGGGCAACCUGCCCCAGACUGGGGGAUAACAUUGUGAAAACAGUGCUAAUACCGCAUGACAGGGUUCCGGGCAUCCGGGACCCUUGAAAGGAGAAAUCCGGUCAGGGAUGGGCCCGCGUCCAAUUAGCUAGUUGGCGGGGUAACGGCCCACCAAGGCGACGAUUGGUAGCCGAACUGAGAGGUUGAUCGGCCACAUUGGGACUGAGACACGGCCCAGACUCCUACGGGAGGCAGCAGUGGGGAAUAUUGGGCAAUGGGCGAAAGCCUGACCCAGCGACGCCGCGUGAAGGAUGAAGGUCUUCGGAUUGUAAACUUCUUUGAUCAGGGAAGAAAGAAAUGACGGUACCUGAAAACAAGCCACGGCUAACUACGUGCCAGCAGCCGCGGUAAACGUAGCGUG